UUUGACCAUCUAUUAUCUCAAUGCUACUGCCAAGGGCCAGAAGGCAGCAAACCUGGAUCUCAAAAAGAAGAUGAAAAUGCAAGCGCUGGAGAACAAGAUGCGGAACAAGAAGAUGGCGGCCGCCCGCGCAGCCGCAGCUGGUGGUGGCCAGUAACUCGCACAGAUAUCUGGACGGUUUCUUUCUGUUGAAGAAACAACCCCUUGUUCUACCCCAGACGGAUUAUCAAGGUCAUGUUCUUGCAUAAAAGCAUCAUCAGUCCCACGUGAACCAGGGGUCUCCACCU